rnacentral:rRNA from 1 species
AACGAACGCUGGCGGCAGGCUUAACACAUGCCAGUCGAACGCCCCGCAAGGGGAGUGGCAGCCGGGUGAGUAACGCGUGGGAACAUACCCUUUUCUACGGAAUAGCUCUGGGAAACUGGAAUUAAUACCGUAUACGCCCUACGGGGGAAAGAUUUAUCGGGGAAGGAUUGGCCCGCGUUGGAUUAGCUAGUUGGUGGGGUAAAGGCCUACCAAGGCGACGAUCCAUAGCUGGUCUGAGAGGAUGAUCAGCCACAUUGGGACUGAGACACGGCCCAAACUCCUACGGGAGGCAGCAGUGGGGAAUAUUGGACAAUGGGCGCAAGCCUGAUCCAGCCAUGCCGCGUGAGUGAUGAAGGCCUUAGGGUUGUAAAGCUCUUUCACCGAUGAAGAUAAUGACGGUAGUCGGAGAAGAAGCCCCGGCUAACUUCGUG